AUUGAACGCUGGCGGCAGGCCUAACACAUGCAAGUCGAGCGGAUGAAGGGAGCUUGCUCCUGGAUUCAGCGGCGAACGGGUGAGUAACACGUGAGUAACCUGCCCUUGACUUUGGGAUAACUUCAGGAAACUGGGGCUAAUACCGGAUAGGAGCUCCUGCUGCAUGGUGGGGGUUGGAAAGUUUCGGCGGUUGGGGAUGGACUCGCGGCUUAUCAGCUUGUUGGUGGGGUAGUGGCUUACCAAGGCUUUGACGGGUAGCCGGCCUGAGAGGGUGACCGGCCACAUUGGGACUGAGAUACGGCCCAGACUCCUACGGGAGGCAGCAGUGGGGAAUAUUGCACAAUGGGCGGAAGCCUGAUGCAGCAACGCCGCGUGCGGGAUGACGGCCUUCGGGUUGUAAACCGCUUUCGCCUGUGACGAAGCGUGAGUGACGGUAAUGGGUAAAGAAGCACCGGCUAACUACGUG
rnacentral:rRNA from 1 species